AGCGAACGCUGGCGGCAGGCCUAACACAUGCAAGUCGAACGAACCUUUCGGGGUUAGUGGCUAACGGGUGGGCAACACGGUGGAUCGUGCCUGUAUGAUCGGCAUAACACAGGGGAAUAAGUCCUAAUACCGAAUGUGCCUUUCGGGGGGAAGCUUUGUGGCCUUUAGGGGGGGCCGCGUCUGUUUUGUUUGGUGGUUGCGGUAAUCGCUCGCCCAGGCGACGAGCAGUAGCGGGUCGGAGAGGAGGAUCAGCUACAUUGGGACUGAGACACGGCCCCAACGCGUAGGAGAGGCAGCAGAGGUGGAUCUAGCGCAAUGGGCGAAAGGCUGACGCAGCCAGGCGGGGUGAAUGAUGAAGGUCUUAGGAUUGUAAAUUUCUUUCAACGGGGACGAUAAUGACGGUACCCAGAAAAGAAGCCCCGGCUAACUUCGUG
rnacentral:rRNA from 1 species